UGGUGUCAGGCUUCAGCUCCCCCUCCCAGAUGCACAAUGACUCUUGAAACAGACUAAGAACAAGUUCUUUUCAUCAAGAUCCUCCUUUACACAGUGUCCUUCAUCUCAUCUUGAGCCCUGUUCCAGAACCCAUCUUCCAGAUGGACAACAAGGGAAUGGGCUGGUUGCAGACACUGCUGCUGCUACAGAGAGGAUGAUAACACAUUGGGGUGGCCAGGCUGAAAAUUGGGAAUUUCCUGGCAAUUUCCCAGGAUGGGGAGACAGGGAAUUACUGACACCCAGUUGCAAGCUUUGCAUUUUGGCAGUUUAGAGAUUUUUCUAGCCCUUGCCUUGGACCUCGAUUUUUUUUUUCUCAGUAGCCAGGCUCUCCCUACAGAGCUGCCCUGAGCAUCCUGCUGAUGUUCCUGCAGUGACCAGACGCCUAGAGCUGCCUCUGUAAUACUGUGUACGUCCCAGGCUGAGCUCAGCUCCAUUUCAGAUUCAGGACAUCUCUGAGAACUGGUUGAAACGAGGACUCACUAAAGCUUCCAUCAGAUGCUGACGGGCCUCUUUGUGCCAGGAAAACGGAUGUGUGCAACAGCAGCAAAAGUGCCUGGAAGCAUCCCAAAGCCUGAGUGAAAUGAGGGAAUUUUGAGCGGCACCAAACAAAAGGAGCAGUGAUUUAAUCUCCACAGAUGGGGAGGGGGGAGCAGCGUCAGGAAAAGCAGGAGGAUGAGAUUAGCUAGGCAAUAAAAUGAAAAUGAGCAAGAGGUGGAGCAAACUGUGCUGAGAUAAGAGGAGGUGGAUUACAGAGCUGGCAGAUGGAAGGGGAGCAGGCAGCCAAACAGGGAACAAAAAAACAGGUAAUAAAUCCGUAAAAAUCUCAAUCAACAACUUUAAAUACCAUUUCCAACCCAUUUUCUCCAGGGAGCCAAGUGACUGUGGCAGAUGUACAGCUUCCCCUGUGUGCCCCGGGCCUGCCCCGUGCUGCUGCGGGCCAGGCGACUGCGAGUGGCCAGCAAGGUGUAUGUGCUGGGGCCCAAAACCCUGGCACGGCAGCCAGGAUCCUUCCUGGCACAAGGAUAAAGAAGUCAUUUAACACCAAGAGGUGAAAGAAAUCGCUUCUUUCUUGACUGACCAUUUGACUUAGCCUAAUUCAGCAGCAUGAAAGCGACACAUCGUCUCUUUUGUUGGCUGAAAGGGGCAUUUCCUCAAGCCUCGCAGGGGCACAUUAGGCUGGGUAUCUCAGUUCCGGACGAUAAGGCAGCUUUUAUCAAGAAGCUUUCAUUACUGCAGUUAAACUGGCAAUAGGUGAUUGAUAAUAAGCAGACAUUUGACCUCUGCUCGAGAGUCAUUAAACCCUUGACCACUGAGAUUUUGGAGGAUAAUCUCUAGAAUAUCUUCGGCUGUGUCAUUUUGGAAAGGCCAUGGUGCAGCUUUCCAGAUCUCUGCAUGCCCCACAUGAAUUCCCCAAUCUUCCAUUGCCUCAGGCAUGUCAGUGCCCAGUGGCACUAUCUCUGUCACAGUCCUCCCUAUCUCAGGAGGUUAUAUGAAAUCAUUAAAUCAUUUAUUUGGCAUUAUAUUUUGGAAGUCUGGGAGAGAAUGGAAAUUAUGUGGGUACUGCAAAAACAAAAAGGGAAAUUAAUGGCCGAAGAUAAGUAAUUACUUUAUGAGUCUGAAACCUCUUUGUGGUAGGGACAGCUUUUUUCUCUGUAGUUUUGGGAUGCCCAGCCCCACUGGGUUUGUGCUGAAGAGAAGCAGCAGUGAUGGCUCAUACUUCAUUGCAGACAUCUGUAUGGAAUAAUAAAUACAUGUUUUGAGCUGGCAGUUUCCCAUCCAAAUGUAGGGCAUGGGCAGAUUAAUCUUGUUGCUGUUGAGCUGGGUCAAAUGAUCUCCACUUCCAGAGGUACCCCAAAUGGGUACCUCUUCCUCCCUCUGCCCCCUUAGCUUGUUUAAUGUCCCUCAAACCAUGGCUGUAAAAACAAAAUUGUACUAUAAAGGGGCAUAGGUCCAACCUUGUAAACAUUGUUUUCAUUUAUCUCUUCAAGGCUCCCAUUAGCUUUCCCUCAUAGUCUGCCACAGAUACGGCAAAAAGGUGCCUGGGACAAUAAUCUUCAUUUUUGGCCUUUAAAGAUCAUAGACUGGAGAAUAAAUUUCAUUUCAGGCAAA